AGCAAAUACUUGGUUGUCUCUGAGCCUCUUUGGUGCCCAUCAUCCUCUUGAAGUAAUUGGUGCUGCCAGGAACAGUUGUGUCUCUUGUCAUGAAAACCUACCAAACAUGACUACAAGCUUGAAUGUUAUGGAUGACUAUCUAUACAGAAGAGCUUCGUCUCCCGAAAACAGAUAUUUAGCGCCUUGCAUCCCGAAUGCAAAUCCUCAUUCCCUGAGAGUGGACAUUGAAGGUCUGUCUCCCGAGAACAGACUAGAUACUAUGCCUUUCAGGAUGCUUUGCCAUCCCGAGAUCAAAGCCUCGUCUUCGAGAAUAGAGAACUAAAGCCUUGCCUCC